rnacentral:rRNA from 1 species
GACGAACGCUGGCGGCAUGCCUAAUACAUGCAAGUCGAACGCUGAAGCACUCUGCUUGCAGAGUGCUGAUGGGUGGCGAACGGGUGAGUAACACGUGUGAAAUCUGCCUAUAAGAGGGGGAUAACAUUCGGAAACGGAUGCUAAUACCGCAUAUAUUCUUGGACCACCUGGUCCUUGAAAGAAAUACGGCGUUGCUGUCGCUUAUAGAUGAUCCCGCGGCGUAUUAGUUAGUUGGUGGGGUAAAGGCCUACCAAGACAAUGAUACGUAGCCGAACUGAGAGGGUGAUCGGCCACACUGGGACUGAGACACGGCCCAGACUCCUACGGGAGGCAGCAGUAGGGAAUCUUCCACAAUGGGCGAAAGCAUGAUGGAGCAAUGCCGCGUGAAUGAAGAAGGUCUUCGGAUCGUAAAGUUCUGUUAUUAGAGAAGAACCAGUCAAGGCGUAACUGUCUUGACUUUGACGGUACCUAAUCAGAAAGUCACGGCUAACUACGUG